GCAACAGGAUGGCGCAAGCACGGGGCAGAGGCAGUGGAGUCCUGAAGAUGAGAAGGUGUGAGCCUUAGGAAGAUCUGGGGAGACACGUCCCGCAUAGAGGGAGCAGUUGGUCUGAAGGUCCUAAGGAAGAUUAGCCCUGAGCUAACAUCUGCUGCCAAUUCUCCUCUUUUUGCUGAGGAAGCCUGCCCUGAGCUGACAUCUGUGCCCAUCUUCCUCUACUUUAUAUGUGGGACACCUGCCACAGCAUGGCUUGAUAAAUGGUGUGUAGGUCCACACCUGGAGUCUGAACCAGUGAACCAUGGGUGGCCGAAGCUGAGUGUUCAAAACUUAACUGCUGUGCCACUGGGCUGGCCCCCA
rnacentral:lncRNA from 1 species